AUUGUUUGCGGCAUUCGGAGGUACACGUUCAUAGGCGUAACAUCUCACCGGAACUCUCUGGCCUUUAUCGAGAUGAUCAUACCACAGCAUCUUAGUACGUGCAAUGGAGUGACCAGUCUCGGAAUAAAUUGCCAGUAGCUUCCGAAAAUGAAACAUUUCAUUGUGUAAAUGAUAUAUUAUGUUUGUGCUUCCGAAUCCCGUAGACAAAAAAAUUUGUAGUGACAAUUCUGUAACAAUCAAUGUUAACGCUAACUUUUGCGAUUUUUUAUUUUUUGCGACACUAUAACAUUACUUGUAAUCACUGAAGAGGGUCUGUGAAAUGAGACCGAAACGCGUAUGAUAUUUAAUAAAAUUUGUUCUCAUGG